UAUCUCCUAAUGUGGAACAAUAAUGCUUGGGGAUUAUUCGCUUUUAUUCCGUCAAUUAAAAUCUUUGGUAAACAGU
rnacentral:tRNA from 1 species